CGAACGCUGGCGGCGUGCUUAACACAUGCAAGUCGAACGGUGAAGCGCCUUCCUUUUUGGUGGGUGUGGAUGAGUGGCGAACGGGUGAGUAACACGUGAGUAACCUGCCCCCUUCUUCUGGAUAACCGCAUGAAAGUGUGGCUAAUACGGGAUAUUCUGGGUCUGUCGCAUGAUGGGUCUGGGAAAGAUAUUGUUUCGGUGGGGGAUGGGCUCGCGGCCUAUCGGCUUGUUGGUGGGGUGAUGGCCUAUCCAGGCGGUGACGGGUAGCCGGCCUGCGAGGGUGGACGGUCACACUGGGGAUGAGACACGGCCCAGACUCCUACGGGAGGCAGCAGUGGGGAAUAUUGCACAAUGGGCGCAAGCCUGAUGCAGCGACGCCGCGUGAGAGAUGGAGGCCUUCGGGUUGUGAACCUCUUUCGCCAGUGAAGCAGGCCUGCCUCGUUUGUGGGUGGGUUGACGGUAGCUGGAUAAGAAGCGCCGGCUAACUACGUG
rnacentral:rRNA from 1 species